UAGGCUGACCUCUCUUUGGAGCGUGGAUCAUUUUUGUUCAGUGUUUGUACAGGAUGUGGUAUACUGUGGGACCAGGACCACAAAUGUGAAUCUGAUCUAGGCACCACUGCGAUAUAAAUAAUAAAAUGCUAUUGGUUGACAUGUGAAGAGACUGUGGCUACCACAAAUCAGUAGAGAAAUCCAGGGGCUGUUUUCUGGCUGGUGUACAGAGAUGCCAGAGAGUUUUGCCUUUUAGAUGGCCUUUGGACAGGCUUCAGCACUUGGCAGCAGGAAUUAGUGAUUUAAGCCCCCACCCACCAAACCUGUUGAGCCGACUCCAGAGACUAACCUCAAUGCAAGGUGAUGGCCACUGGUGUGUCCCUGUCAGAGCUUGUAGGGGUCUCACAAUCCUCUGAGGCUUGUGGAGAGAUUGAGUACAACCCUCAGCACUGGACACCUGGUGGCACUGUAGAAGACCAACAGACCCAGCAGGCGAGAUUGAACCUGGGGCCUCUGGAACUUAGUGCAUGAGCUAAAAGCCAUAUGGCCCUUAGCUAAGGCUGUAGAGAGAGAUUAAUGAUUCUGCAUUAAGUGGUCUCGAUGCCACUAGAUGGGACAGAACACCCCCACCCAGGAAGUGUGUGGGUUAUACUAGCCCUGAAGCCACUCACAGUGUCUCAAGCCAGCUGUCCUAGUCCCAUGUAAGGCCAGCCUCAGUGCAUAAACAGCUACAAAAUCUCAGGUGUGGAGGUGGGCUGUACUACUCAGACUGCAGGGGCUGCAUGUCCCACCUUCUGUCCGUGGCACUGCAGCCCUUCAAAAUCCUGUCACUUUGGGAAAUGGAGCCAGUUGCACAGUGGAGGCUUGAAACCCUGGAGUGAGAAUCCUGCAAGAUGAUCUCUUCAAGAGAAGCACAAGUGCAAGGUUAGAGAUGAUCCCUUUCAACAAGUCACUUGUAAAGAGGAACAAGAUUGCAAAAUAGAAACAAGUGGGAGUUUCCAAACAUUGUUUUUUCUCCUUUCUUUUUACAUUCAGAGCUGAAUAAUACUGCCCUGCCAGUUGAUGGUCAGGGGGAAAUCAACCCUCCAGCCUCAUUCAGAGGGACCAUUACUGCUACAAGCAGCCAGGACUACUCCCAUCUUCCAGUCCAUUCUGCAGUGUAACCAGCACAAUUAUGGCUGCUCACGAUUUGGGGAGAGAACUGCAGUGACAAAACAAAAAAAAGAGGAAGGUCUCUUGUUCUCUCUCCCCACUCUAAUGCAGCCAUGAUUUGGCCCACAGUAUUUACCAGGCCAAAUAUAACCUAGAUCCCCAGCAAGUCCGAAGUCAAACUGUACCCUUGAGCAAUAAAAAUCAUGCUGCUGUCAUUAUACAUUUUUGAUUUUAUUGUUUUUUUUUUAAAACCAACAGUUAUUACAAAUGAAUCAUUUGAAGGUUUCUGAGAAGGAGAAGUCUCAUUACAGAUAUGAUGUAUUUUCAGUCUUCUUGUGAACCGAGACAGCAAAGUCAAAUCCAUAUGCAUAAACAAAACCAAACAAAACUAGAACAGUUCACACUGCAGUUUAUAUCAUGCAAAUUCCCUAACAGAAGGUUUUUAAAA